rnacentral:lncRNA from 1 species
UAACACUUUUCUUGAUUCGACAAAAUAAUGUCAUUCACUCCAAUAAUUCAACUUCAUAAAAUCUUACGCAGCGGAUUCAUAAAAAAAAAUUCUUAUCAUCUUUAAGCAACAUAAAUACGACUUAACUUAAAGAGUAAACAACUAUAAUCCUUCAAACAAUUUAAAUUUUAGUAACAAUUAAAAGAUCCACAAAGCAGACACGCGACAAU